UGUGAAAAUAGAAGCUGGGUUGAGGAGCUUGUCGGCUUUGAGGACAAAGGUGGUGAUGAGCUGAGGACAGCAGGCAGCCUGUGGACACUGAAAAGGAAAGGAACGGAUUCUCUUGUAGAGCCUCCAAAGAGACACAGCCCUGCCAGCAUCUUGACUUCUGCCCCAUAAGACCCAUUUCAGACUUCUGGCUUCUAGAACUGUAAGCCAAGCAAAGAUAAAAGAUGGAACAUGUUUCUUUUGCCUACUCCCAAGGAAACCCCAUUACCCUUGAAACACCACAUGACCACGUAAAGCCCAAUCAGGGUCCAAAGAAGCAGUCGGCAAGGACAAGCUGAGUGUGAGCUGAAAAUGAAGUUGUUACCAAACAGCAAACCGCAGUCCUCGCUUCUUAUGAAUAUUUGAAUGAGUAACUAAAAACAGCUCAGUAAACUCUAAGCAAAUGUGACAGCUGAAACUGCCUGGAAACCAGGAGUCCACCAGGACCGUGACGAAAAGAUCACCAGUUACUUUGUACCUCUCGCUGCCAUGGGUCUACAGAGGGACGGUAUCAGAUUUCUUUUCCUCAAAUAUCCUGAAAUAUUGAUGUUGCUGUUGUUUUUACUCAUAGAAAAUUGGACCUAGUCAAUCUUUCAUGAAUAUCUUUCUGCUCAUUCCAUGUGGCAAGAAAGACAGUGAGAACAGAGCCCCUGAAGCCAGAAUUAUAAAUUUUGCCAUAUAGAAGAGUUCCAGAAAAUAUCUGUAGAAGAUACAUUUCAAAAGAAAACUAAAAAACAAUUCAUUUUUCCUGUCUUCUUUAAUAUAUAGACAAAAUAUUACUACUAUGAUUAUUAUCUCCAAUUUACUAGGAAAUACAAUAGUACAUAAUUUUCAAGUUGGUGGCUUUAACUGGAAGGAAAGGGUCAGUUAUUUAGUUCCUCUAAGUGUGUAUAGUAAAUUCUCCUUAAACCCACUUAGUUUUGUUCAUUUGAUGAAUGCUUUAAAUAUAAUGAGAGCCCUCUCAUAGGCCAUAAAUUCCUAGUAAAGUAAAAAGUUAUGCAGUAUGUGGAUCUAAUAUACAGAUUGCUACAGCUCAAAUCUAGUAGCUAACUGAAGAUAAAAUCAAACCAAGGGGAACCUUGGUGAAGUUAUUGUUUAUUCAGUGGUUAUUUGUAAAAAAUCUGUGAAACAUUAAGUUUCAGUCAGCCUCUUCAGAAGUUCCAGAAGAUAGCAGCCACAGCCUUUAUUGCUGAAGAGUUUAUGAGUAUUUUUAAUGACAAUGAGGACCGCAAUGGUUUCCUAAGAGGCCACUACAGGGACCUAUCUCUUCAUCAUUGAAACUGAGAGCCCUAAUUCCAUCUCAUCUGUAAAAUUACUAUUCCAGUUCCUUGGAGUAUCUGAGCAAUGUCAGCCACAACAUGCUGUUCAAUUUCUCCUUUCUCUUUUGCCAUGUGUGGAUUUACACAUGGUGUUACAUAUUGCUGGAUUUUUAAUUCUGCAGUAAAAAUGGAAAGAAGAACACAAAAUGCAAUUGUGGUUUAUGCUUAUACCGUGGAGAGAUGGAGAGUCUUUAGAGGGAAAGUAACUAGACAGAAGGAAUGUUUGUGACGUCCACAUUAGAAACCCAGGCCCUGGAGACAAGUAGGAACAUAGCGACUCUGAAGCAGCAGGAGGAGACAGAAACCUAUUUUAAUAUUGAGUGUUAGGCAAGAUUAAGGCCAUUUGCAAAAUCACACUAAACCCUCACUAUAUGUUAUGUUGGAUUGGAAGUUAGAACGGUUGCUAGCUAUGCAGGCUUCAGAAAAAUCAUUUAUAUUUUCUCAUCUAUAUGGUGUAGAUCAGGGGUCCCCAAUCCCUGGGUCAUGGACUGGUAUUGGUCCACAAACUAUUAAGAACUGGGCUGCACAGUAGGAGGUGAGGGGCAGGCGAGCAAAGCUUCAUCUGUAUUUAUAGCUGCUCCCCAUUGCUUGCAUUACCGCCUGAGCUCCGUCUCCUGUCAGAUUAGGGGCGGUGUGUCCGGAAUUGGUGGGUUCUUGGUCUCACUGACUUCAAGAAUGAAGCUGCAGACCCUCGC